GCGCAGCAGGCGCGAAAACUUCGCAAUGCGCGAAAGCGCGACGAGGGGAUUCCAAGUGCAUGCACUAAGUGUAUGCUUUUCGUGAGUUUAAAACGCUCACGGAAUAAGGGCUGGGUAAGACUGGUGCCAGCCGCCGCGGUAAUACCAGCGGCCCUAGUGGUGAUCGUUAUUAUUGGGCCUAAAGCGUCCGUAGCCGGUCCGGUAAAUCUCUGGGUAAAUCGUUGGGCUUAACUCAGCGAAUUCUGGGGAGACUGCUGGACUUGGGACCGGGAGAGGUCGGAGGUACUCCAGGGGUAGGGGUGAAAUCCUGUAAUCCUUGGGGGACCACCGGUGGCGAAGGCGUCCGACCAGAACGGGUCCGACGGUAAGGGACGAAGCCCUGGGGCGCGAACCGGAUUAGAUACCCCU
rnacentral:rRNA from 1 species